rnacentral:lncRNA from 1 species
CCCCCAACUAGCUUAUUGCUAGUCUCUAGCAAUUAACGAGCAAAUAAUAAAAUAAGAGUGCAAAAGGUGUGGUUUAACCUAUGAUGUUUUAUUAGAACUAAUUGCAUAAAAUUAAGAUAAGUACUCACUUUCGUAGGAAUCACGAUUGCACUUAGCAUGUGCAACAAGCCGUUAAACCCUAGGUUACCCUAGUGGACGAGUGUUAUCUCGUGAGGGUUUUCAGGGAUGUUACCCACAAACAUCAUGAAUUAUAUAACAUGAGAUUCUAAUAAAAAUAUGAAAUAAAUCUUAAGCUAAUACACAUGUAAUUAAUUGAUAUAUAUUUUCAAGCAUGGCAACUGUCAAAGCAAGGAGAUAUAAAAGUGUAGUGUGCAUCAAAUCGCAUGACUUUCUCAGAGUACUAAUACCUCCACCACAAUAGGGCACCGCCUGAGUUUUAGGUGCACUACUCAAGUCCACAAGUAUUUUCUACAAUUUAUUAGAACCUGAUCCAUCAAAUUUU